UAAUUUCAUAUGGGGAUGAGUGCGAUUUUUCAUAGGAAAAAUCUUAAGGGAAGUCAGUCGAAGCUGACGCGGUGCCCGCCACUGUAGAAGGAAGUUAACUCACCAUAAUGUCACUGGAAAGCUAUAUCCGGGAAGACGGGAGUUAAUGAGGAACUUAAGCCAGGAGACCUGCUCAUGUCCCAGAUUCGAG
rnacentral:ncRNA from 2 species